rnacentral:rRNA from 1 species
CGGGGAGCACCACAACGGGUGGAGCCUGCGGUUUAAUUGGACUCAACGCCGGGCAGCUCACCGGAUAAGACAGCUGGAUGAUAGCCGGGCUGAAGACUCUGCUUGACUAGCUGAGAGGAGGUGCGUGGCCGUCGUCAGUUCGUACUGUGAAGCAUCCUGUUAAGUCAGGCAACGAGCGAGACCCACGCCAACAGUUGCCAGCAUGUCCUCCGGGACGAUGGGGGACACUGUUGGGACCGCUCUGCUAAAGAGGAGGAAGGAAUGGGCAACGGUAGGUCAGCAUGCCCCGAAUUAUCCGGGCUACACGCGGGCUACAAUGGUCAGGACAAUGGGUAUCGACACCGAGAGGUGGAGGCAAUCUCCUAAACCUGUCCUUAGUUCGGAUUGUGGGCUGCAACUCGCCCACAUGAAGCUGGAAUCCGUAGUAAUCGCGUUUCAAAAUAGCGCGGUGAAUAUGCCCCUGCUCCUU